rnacentral:rRNA from 1 species
AUUGAACGCUGGCGGAAUGCUUUACACAUGCAAGUCGAACGGCAGCACGGGGGCAGCCCUGGUGGCGAGUGGCGAACGGGUGAGUAAUACAUCGGAACGUGCCCGGACGUGGGGGAUAACGUAGCGAAAGUUACGCUAAUACCGCAUACGAUCUGAGGAUGAAAGCGGGGGACCUUCGGGCCUCGCGCGAUCGGAGCGGCCGAUGUCAGAUUAGGUAGUUGGUGGGGUAAAGGCCUACCAAGCCGACGAUCUGUAGCUGGUCUGAGAGGACGACCAGCCACACUGGGACUGAGACACGGCCCAGACUCCUACGGGAGGCAGCAGUGGGGAAUUUUGGACAAUGGGCGCAAGCCUGAUCCAGCCAUUCCGCGUGCAGGACGAAGGCCUUCGGGUUGUAAACUGCUUUUGUACGGAACGAAAAGGCUCUGGCUAAUACCUGGGGCUCAUGACGGUACCGUAAGAAUAAGCACCGGCUAACUACGUG